rnacentral:misc_RNA from 1 species
AAGUCGUAACAAGGUUUCCGUAGGUGAACCUGCGGAAGGAUCAUUAACACUUUUAUGUGCUCCUACUAAACUAAACUGGUGACUUUUAAACCCUUGCUCGUGGGGUUAUAUAUAGUUGAACUUUAUAUAACUUUCGCGAGGAUAAAUAAUUUUUAUUUUUAUUAACCUUUUUUUUUAUGAACUAACCUCAUUUGCUGGUCUCCAUGCCAGUAAAUAUUUUAAAUGCGAACAACUCUAAGCAGUGGAUAUCUUGGUUCUC